UACGGGGGGAGCAAGCGUUGUUCGGAUUUACUGGGCGUAAAGGGCGGGUAGGCGGCCACCGCAAGUCAGUUGUGAAAUCUCUGGGCUUAACCCAGAAAGGUCAACUGAUACUGCGGGGCUAGAGUGCAGAAGGGGCAACUGGAAUUCUCGGUGUAGCGGUGAAAUGCGUAGAUAUCGAGAGGAACACCUGCGGCGAAGGCGGGUUGCUGGGCUGACACUGACGCUGGGGCGCGAAAGCUAGGGGAGCGAACGGG
rnacentral:rRNA from 1 species